GUGGGGAAUCUUAGACAAUGGGCGCAAGCCUGAUCUAGCCAUGCCGCGUGAGUGAUGAAGGCCCUAGGGUUGUAAAGCUCUUUCAGCUGGGAAGAUAAUGACGGUACCAGCAGAAGAAGCCCCGGCUAACUCCGUGCCAGCAGCCGCGGUAAUACGGAGGGGGCUAGCGUUGUUCGGAAUUACUGGGCGUAAAGCGCGCGUAGGCGGACUGAAAAGUUGGGGGUGAAAUCCCGGGGCUCAACCUCGGAACUGCCUUCAAAACUAUCAGUCUGGAGUUCGAGAGAGGUGAGUGGAAUUCCGGGUGUAGAGGUGAAAUUCGUAGAUAUUCGGAGGAACACCAGUGGCGAAGGCGGCUCACUGGCUCGAUACUGACGCUGAGGUGCGAAAGCGUGGGGAGCAAACAGGAUUAGAUACCCGAGUAGUCC
rnacentral:rRNA from 1 species